AAAAAAAUUGAACAAGGUUUCCGUAGGUGAACCUGCGGGAAGGAUCAUUA
rnacentral:rRNA from 1 species